CCUGCGACGGAGCCAGGAGAGCUUGCUCUCUGGGUGGCGAGUGGCGGACGGGUGAGGAAUACAUCGGAAUCUACCUUUUCGUGGGGGAUAACGUANGGAAACUUACGCUAAUACCGCAUACGACCUACGGGUGAAAGUGGGGGACCGCAAGGCCUCACGCGAUUAGAUGAGCCGAUGUCCGAUUAGCUAGUUGGCGGGGUAAUGGCCCACCAAGGCGACGAUCGGUAGCUGGUCUGAGAGGAUGAUCAGCCACACUGGAACUGAGACACGGUCCAGACUCCUACGGGAGGCAGCAGUGGGGAAUAUUGGACAAUGGGCGCAAGCCUGAUCCAGCCAUACCGCGUGGGUGAAGAAGGCCUUCGGGUUGUAAAGCCCUUUUGUUGGGAAAGAAAUCCUAUCGGUUAAUAACCGAUGGGGAUGACGGUACCCAAAAAUAAGCACCGGGCUAACUUUCGUGCCAGCAGCCGCGGUAAUACGAAGGGUGCAAGCGUUACUCGGAAUU
rnacentral:rRNA from 1 species